CUGAUGCACUCGAAAUCCAGCUGCAAUUUUCAAUCUCUCAGCUUAGAACAGAUGUCUAUGUUUAUGGAGUAAUCAAUGCGGGGUGCAGGGCGCAAGUCCUGUAAUGCUCAUAAAGCCAUCUGUUAUACUAAAUAGCCACAUUCACUUCACAAAACACAGAUGGAACAUGGUACAGCUGGUAGCCAGGCUGAAUUUUACGAGAGAAAUGGAAAGAGCUUACUGUAGGAAGACGAACGAAUGCCCUGCAUUGUCAGAUCGUCGGGGACCUAGCGGGUAAGAAUUUCUGGCAACCCGUGUCGAAACACAAGCUGUAAUCCCGAAGAUGCGUAUGGUACCAAAACAAUUUUGAACGGGAGGAUUAUACGAAUCCAAGCAGUUGGAAAGAAGAAGUAUGAAUCUAAGCGGUUUGUGUGUCGACGUUUGGAAUCGCUUCAACAACGACUUGGCAGAACAACAAGCAUCUUUGGUUCAUAUUUUUCAAGCAGAGAUGGGAUACUUCGUAUGCAGAUAUGAUUCGUGACAGAAAUACAACAAGCUUGUGAAAUUUUGUUCGCUGAUAGAAACCACUGUCGCGAGAAAGAUGAUUUCAGACGUGACAGGAUUCCGAGAAACGAUGCAAGAAUUGCGAAGAUGAAGUUGGCUACGAGACUGAAACUUCUUCUAUAAUCACAACAACUCAACAAGAAGAUCGAGAUUGUCUUUUGAAGAGGAGUUUAUUUACAAAAUUGCCACGCUCCUUGGAGGAUAUCGCAUUGGAAUUCAAUUCAACCGAGAGGCAAAACACGAUGAAGUAGCUGCACUUAAUAAACUACACAACUGAACAAAUUUCAGUUGGUAAUGAUUCCUUUUUCGCUCGCCUCCUUUUGGCAAGAUCAAAAGUAAUGCAUGCAAGCAGAGAUGGCGGGGAGACAACCGUAGGAGAGGAUCGUAACUGAUCGUUAAUCCGAUUUACGCGUCCUGAGCUCUCGUGGGCCAUAAUCUUGUUAGAUAUGAUGUCGGCUCUCAGGCGAAGUGGCAAGAUGCGGAUAUUGAAAGUAAACUGAUAUAGGAAACCGAAACUUAUUCUAAUAUUGGAACAAACUGGAAUAGAUAUCAACUCGAGACAUUUUCAAGGCGAAACAUGUCAAUCAAAUAACAAUGCUUGGAAAAACACUAAAAUGCUAUGCAUGCGUGCGUGGGAACACUUAUUGUGAAUGCUCUAUCAAGAUGAAUUAGUCUGAAAAUCGUAAACAUUGUAGUGACACAGUAUUGAGCAGCGUUCGGCCUGGAUGUAUUCAUUUUAUCCAUAUGGUUGAUGUGCAAGAACCUUUGCAGAAUUACAGCAAAUCUCGUAACCAUGCGGUGUGUGCCCUCCCCCUUGUUCCAUGUGAUCGUAAGCUUAGGCAACCGGGUGAGGACAGGGGGACCCCAUCUCCGUUUCGAACCCUCGCACUCACAAUGGCGGCAGUCUAACUCGCGUGUACAUUCUUUGAAGGGGGAGGUGUUACAAAAAGCAAGGAUAUUUGCACACCGAUUUUCUACACUCAAAUUGAAAAUUCAAAAUUAUUCUGAAUAAGCGCGCCCGAAUACCCGCCACCCUUGAUCAAUUUUAUGUGUCCCCUCCUAAUAUCAAGGCUAUAUUUACACCUAAUUAACAUUUGCCGCGCUUACCGUUGAUAAAAGUGAUCCUUCAUUCUUGCUUGAAUUUUUAUAUUUUUUUCUUCUCCCUAAUAAUACGGAAAAUUCGAAACUCAACACAUAUAGAGAUCAGUCGGCACGCGCGGGAGCUUGGGAGCAAGAACUUCGUCAGUCAGCGUCGUAACUACAUAGCGUUCUGUUCAAACUCACGUCAAGACAUCGAAGCUCAAAGCCUCAAACUGUGCUCCCACGGUUUCCAUAUUCAUCACUAAUGCUUACGUUAAUGGCUGUCAAUUGUUUAUAAACAGAGAGAAUCUUCUAGAUCAUAGGCAAAUAAUAAGAUUGGUCACUCUUUACUUUUGCAUUGUUAUUCACCAUAACGAAAUGUCGUCCAACUAGGUUCCCGUGGAGCUUUUCCUUCCCCCUUCAACUUAACCCUUCGUAAAACUACAUGAAAUCUAACAAUCGUAUCUUCUGCUCCACGCAUAACAAUUACUCGUAAUUCUUGAAAACUUAAUCUCGGUUUAAUUUUGUCUUGGAUAUUUCAGAAACUGCGUUUAAAAGAACAGAGUUCGAUAAAUAACCCAUUGUCAACGUGAGGUCUUUUAUAUAAUUAUUAAACAAAGAUGUCCUUUGUUAGUGUGUUUAAUCUUCACAGCAUGAGAGGGAAGACUUCGGAAAACAAGUUUCUAAAUUAUAGCAUCACUGAACGAAAUACAUUUUUUAACUGAAAACCUCUUUAUAUCUUUUUUUUGAGAGGUAAACACGUACUGCAACGAAGAAGUAAUGAUAGAGAGUGUUUUUGUGUUUGCAGAAGUGAAAAGAAACCAUUUCAAUGAUUUAUCUAUAAUAUUAGAGCUAUAUCAUAGAGCAGACUAGAUAUUCGUAUUGAUUUUUCUCGGCCAAGGUAUCGAG